rnacentral:rRNA from 1 species
AAGAUUGAGAGGGGUUGCUCCUAGUACGAGAGGACCGGAGUGAACGCACCACUGGUGUUCGGGUUGUCAUGCCAAUGGCAUUGCCCGGUAGCUAAGUGCGGAAAAGAUAAGCGCUGAAAGCAUCUAAGCGCGAAACUUGCCUCAAGAUGAGUCUUCCCUGGGACUUUAAGUCCCCUGAAGGAACGUUUAAGACUAAGACGUUGAUAGGCUGGGUGUGUAAGUGCAGCGAUGCAUUGAGCUAACCAGUACUAAUGAUCCGUGAGGCUUAACCUUACAACACCGAAGGUGUUUUAG